UACGUAGGGUGCGAGCGUUAAUCGGAAUUACUGGGCGUAAAGCGUGCGUAGGUGGUGAGUUAAGUCUGUCGUGAAAGCCCCGGGCUCAACCUGGGAAUGGCGAUGGAUACUGGCUCGCUAGAGUGCGGUAGAGGAGAGUGGAAUUCCCGGUGUAGCAGUGAAAUGCGUAGAGAUCGGGAGGAACAUCAGUUGCGAAGGCGGCUCUCUGGACCAGCACUGACACUGAGGCACGAAAGCGUGGGGAGCAAACAGG
rnacentral:rRNA from 1 species